AAAUGAAUAGACGGGGGCCCGCACAAGCGGUGGAGCAUGUGGUUUAAUUCGAUGAUACGCGAGGAACCUUACCAGGGCUUAAAUGGGAGACGACGUACUUGGAAACAGGUAUUUCUUCGGACGUCUUUCAAGGUGCUGCAUGGUUGUCGUCAGCUCGUGCCGUGAGGUGUCAGGUUAAGUCCUAUAACGAGCGCAACCCCUGUUGUUAGUUGCCAGCGAGUAAUGUCGGGAACUCUAACAAGACUGCCGGUGUAAACCGUGAGGAAGGUGGGGAUGACGUCAAAUCAUCACGGCCCUUACGUCCUGGGCCACACACGUGCUACAAUGGCCGGUACAGAGAGCAGCCACUUAGCGAUAAGGAGCGAAUCUACAAAACCGGUCUCAGUUCGGAUUGGAGUCUGCAACUCGACUCUAUGAAGCUGGAAUCGCUAGUAAUCGGAUAUCAGCCAUGAUCCGGUGAAUACGUUCCCGGGCCUUGUACACACCGCCCGU
rnacentral:rRNA from 1 species